rnacentral:rRNA from 1 species
GACAGAGGAUGCAAGCGUUAUCCGGAAUUAUUGGGCGUAAAGAGCUCGUAGGCGGUUUGUCACGUCUGCUGUGAAAACUGGAGGCUCAACCUCCAGCCUGCAGUGGGUACGGGCAGACUAGAGUGCGGUAGGGGAGAUUGGAAUUCCUGGUGUAGCGGUGAAAUGCGCAGAUAUCAGGAAGAACACCCGUGGCGAAGGCGGCUCUCUGGGACGGUACUGACGCUGAGACGCGAAAGCGUGGGGAGCGAACAGG